AUUGAACGCUGGCGGCAGGCUUAACACAUGCAAGUCGAGCGGGGUGAUGGUGCUUGCACUAUCACUUAGCGGCGGACGGGUGAGUAAUGCUUAGGAAUCUGCCUAUUAGUGGGGGACAACAUUUCGAAAGGAAUGCUAAUACCGCAUACGUCCUACGGGAGAAAGCAGGGGAUCUUCGGACCUUGCGCUAAUAGAUGAGCCUAAGUCGGAUUAGCUAGUUGGUGGGGUAAAGGCCUACCAAGGCGACGAUCUGUAGCGGGUCUGAGAGGAUGAUCCGCCACACUGGGACUGAGACACGGCACAGACUCCUACGGGAGGCAGCAGUGGGGAAUAUUGGACAAUGGGCGGAAGCGUGAUCCAGCCAUGCCGCGUGUGUGAAGAAGGCCUUAUGGUUGUAAAGCACUUUAAGCGAGGAGGAGGCUACUUUAGUUAAUACCUAGAGAUAGUGGACGUUACUCGCAGAAUAAGCACCGGCUAACUCUGUGCCAGCAGCCGCCGCCGUAA
rnacentral:rRNA from 1 species